UACGGAGGGGGCAAGCGUUAUUCGGAAUUAUUGGGCGUAAAGGGCGCGUAGGCGGCUAGAUGUGUCAAAGGUGAAAUCCCUCGGCUCAACUGAGGAACUGCCUUUGAAACUGUCUGGCUUGAGGCCGGGAGAGGGUAGCGGAAUUUCCGGUGUAGCGGUGAAAUGCGUAGAUAUCGGAAGGAACACCAGUGGCGAAAGCGGCUUCCUGGUCCAGCACCGACGUUCAGGCACGAAAGCGUGGGGAGCAAACAGG
rnacentral:rRNA from 1 species